GACGCUGGCACAGUCAUGCUGCCCCGUGCUCACUGUCCAGCGCGACAGUGCACAGCGGCAGGGCGCUCAGUCCGAGCCCAGGGUGUCCAGCAGCAAGCAGAAAAGCAGUGGCGGUGGGAAGGGACUUCCAGGAAGCACGAAGUGACAACCAUGGAAACAAAAGUGGAAAUACUGCACCAUACCACCACUUUUAGGAUGGCGGCCACUCUGGUACCCACGACACUGCCGCUCCGUGCCAACCCGAGUCACACCAGCAGCUCCAGUCUCACCCUCCCCAGCCCACCAACAGGCAGCAGCCGAGGCACAGCUCCAGCACAGCGCCGGUGAGGACCAGCCAGUGAGGAGCAAAGCCAAAGUCGCCCGCACCCCGGGACGCACUCUUCCCUGCCCAUCCGCCCUCAGUGCACUCUGUUGCACACCAGCCCACUCCCCACGCUGCCUGCACACGCUGUCCCGAGUCCUCUCCCCACGUACCUGCCACCACCCCAGCGCGCCAGGCCUUGCCCGGUACAGCUCCUCCUCCUCCAGGGAUCGCACCUCGUUCCCCUGAGGACACCUGGAGUACUUCUAGAAACUUCCCUGCAACUAAAAUAAAUCUGUCCCAUACUUUAAAGAACUGAAAAUCCUUUUCACGACUAAUCUGUAAAAAAUGUAAGGACAGAUGCCACACUUUACAAAAUUAGGGACAGGUUAGGUCCCUGGUCUAUACCCACAGGACAAGACGAUGAGCACUGUUGACCGGCGGGAACAAGGAGGUCCGGGAGCCGGCCCUGGGGUCUCCUUU
rnacentral:lncRNA from 1 species